rnacentral:rRNA from 1 species
GCCUGUUUAUCAAAAACAUGUCUUUUUGAAAAUAAUUUAAAGUCUAAUCUGCCCCCUGAUAAAUAUUAAAGGGCUGCAGUAUUUUGACUGUACAAAGGUAGCAUAAUCCUUAGUCUUUUAAUUGGUGACUUGUAUGAAAGAUUGGAUGAGAUAUAAACUGUCUAAAAAAUAAUUUAUUGAAUUUAAUUUUUUAAUUAAAAAGUUAAAAUAUAUUAAAAAGACGAGAAGACCCUAUAGAGUUUUAUAUUAAUUUAAAUUUUAAUUAUAUAUAAAUAAUAAUAAUAAUAAAUUUAAAUUAAUAUUUUAUUGGGGGGAUAAAAAAAUAAAAAAAACUUUUUUUUAAAAUAAUCAUAGAUAAAUGAAUUUUUGAUCCAGUUAUAUUGAUUAAAAGAAAAAAUUACCUUAGGGAUAACAGCGUAAUUUUUUUUUUUAGUUCAUAUAAAAAAAAAAGUUUGCGACCUCGAUGUUGGAUUAAGAUAAAAUUAAA